rnacentral:rRNA from 1 species
UACGAAGGGGGGCGAGCGUUGUUCGGAAUUACUGGGCGUAAAAGGGCGCGUAGGCGGCCCUUCAAGUCAGGCGUGAAAGCCCCGGGCUCAACCUGGGAAUUGCGCUUGGGACUGGAGGGCUCGAGUUCGGGAGAGGAAAGUGGAAUUCCCAGUGUAGAGGUGAAAUUCGUAGAUAUUGGGAAGAACACCGGUGGCGAAGGUGGCUCUCUGGGACCGAGACUGACGCUGAGGCGCGAAAGCUAGGGGGAGCAAAACGGG